GAUGAACGCUGGCGGCGUGCCUAAUACAUGCAAGUCGAGCGAACGGACGAGAAGCUUGCUUCUCUGAUGUUAGCGGCGGACGGGUGAGUAACACGUGGAUAACCUACCUAUAAGACUGGGAUAACUUCGGGAAACCGGAGCUAAUACCGGAUAAUAUUUUGAACCGCAUGGUUCAAAAGUGAAAGACGGUCUUGCUGUCACUUAUAGAUGGAUCCGCGCUGCAUUGGCUAGUUGGUAAGGUAACGGCUUACCAAGGCAACGAUGCAUAGCCGACCUGAGAGGGUGAUCGGCCACACUGGAACUGAGACACGGUCCAGACUCCUACGGGAGGCAGCAGUAGGGAAUCUUCCGCAAUGGGCGAAAGCCUGACGGAGCAACGCCGCGUGAGUGAUGAAGGUCUUCGGAUCGUAAAACUCUGUUAUUAGGGAAGAACAUAUGUGUAAGUAACUGUGCACAUCUUGACGGUACCUAAUCAGGAAGCCACGGCUAACUACGUG
rnacentral:rRNA from 1 species